rnacentral:lncRNA from 1 species
UUCACAAUGCAAAAAUGCAAAGUUUAUUUUCUUAAAUAAAAUACUAUAUUCAUAUCUAUACAAAUAAUUAUUACAACCAUUAAAAUGUUACAUUUACCAAUAAAAAUUUCAAAACUUUAAACAAGAGCAUGGUUCAGAAUAUUCACACCCUAAUACAAUGCAUUUGUAAAAAGAUGUCAAAAUAAACAGGACCUAUUCUUAUUUACAACUGUAGGACAAUCCUGGCCAUAUUAUACAUAUCUGCUCUGAAUUCAUUACAAAACAAAUUAGUUCCCAUUAGAAUUAUAAACCAGGUGAUUUACAGUAAUAGGACACAGUGCACAGCAGACAGUGCUGGCAUGGGAAUAGAUACAAAUAUUACAUAUACUGAAAGCACUACAGUUAGGUUUUUUCUGGUGACUGCCCUACAGUAAGCUUCUCACCCAGUGUAUCUAUAAAUAAUGUGUGAAGGUAACUAUGUGCUCAGACUUCUCCACCCACUUUUACUGAAAUG